rnacentral:rRNA from 1 species
AACGAACGCUGGCGGCAGGCUUAACACAUGCAAGUCGAGCGCCCCGCAAGGGGAGCGGCAGACGGGUGAGUAACGCGUGGGAAUCUACCCAGUUCUACGGAAUAACACAGGGGAAACUUGUGCUAAUACCGUAUACGCCUACGGGGAAAGAUUUAUCGGAAUUGGAUGAGCCCGCGUUGGAUUAGCUAGUUGGUGGGGUAAUGGCCUACCAAGGCGACGAUCCAUAGCUGGUCUGAGAGGAUGAUCAGCCACACUGGGACUGAGACACGGCCCAGACUCCUACGGGAGGCAGCAGUGGGGAAUAUUGGACAAUGGGCGAAAGCCUGAUCCAGCCAUGCCGCGUGAGUGAUGAA